UAUAGCGCUAUCGCACAUUAUCAUAUAGCGCUGUCGCAUGAUGACGUAGGCUUGUGUCAGUCAGGUGACCUAGAAAAAACGGGAAGAGAGUACCAGGCGGAGUAUAUUAUUAUACCAUGAUCGCAAUGAAACACAAAUUUCAUCCACUAGAAUUGAAGAUGGCGGACCUUUUCUAUAAUGGCGGCUGCAAAAUUUAAAAAACUUAGCCACAAAACAGCUGCACCGAUUUUAGAGAUUGAUAUAUCAAAACGAAAAAAAACCAUUUAAGAACCAACAGGAGUGGUCAUUUCUCCAUACAAACGUACUCGACUGUUUCCUUCGUGGGUUUUGAUGCUAGAGCAAUGAUUUUUUCAACACAGAUUAAUAUUUUCAAUAUCUGUGUCGGACCGUAUUGCUUUUUUUGAUAUUUUUGUUUAUUAACCCUUUAACCGCCAGAGUCUGAUAUAUAAGACAUUACAUAUCCAGCUCAUUUCGCCACAGUCUGAUAAAUAAGACAAAUAUCUGAUUUGGUUUUUACAGCACAUUUAUAACUCCCGUAACUAUGCCAACCUUACUCUGCGUGGUACAUAUACUGUCGGUGGCGACACGAGCACGCUCGAUCAAAAAUUGCCGGCGGUUAAAAGGUUAAGGCGCUAGACCCCUUCAAAAAUGGCCAAAAUGGCCUCAUUGACUAUGCCGCAAUGAGAGGUGUAGUAUUCAAAACUGAUAUGAUGAUAUCAAUUAGCCAAAAAAGCAAAGCGGUCUGACACAGAUAAGCCAAAAAAGCAAAACGGUCUGACACAGAUAAUUUCAUAAUAAUUUAUAUUUUUAAAUUUGGUUACGAUUGGUUAAGUUUUGGAGGAGGAAACAGUCGAGUACGAAACCUCGAUUUUUGAGAUUUUUACGCAGGAUUUUUCGCCUUGUCCUUAUCGCACUAGUUUUAGAAGCCGCUUGCGUUAGCAAGACGGGUAUAUUUACCUAAAAUAUUUAAAACUCUGCUCCUGUUUCGUCUUAAUAAAUGAAAGAUGGCGGCCAUUCGGCAUCAUUCAUCGUAAGGAUUAUUUUUUGCUAAAUAACAUAGUGUCAAAAAUAAAAGGAAGACCAUGAAUUUUAACAUUUGAUGUGAAAUUUAGCGAAAUUAUCAAAGAGUGCAUUUUUGGGCAUUUGAUAAAUUAAAUUGAUUAAUUUUGAAUUAAAGAUAUUAAAAUUCAUGGUCUUCCUUUUAUUUCUGACACUAUUUUAUUUAGCAAAAAAUAAUCCUUACGAUGAAUGAUGCCGAAAGGUGAUUUUUUUUUCACGUGUAGCGGGUUCGAUUCCCGAUUCAACCAUGUAAUUAUUUAAAAAUCUAUGAAUGCAGUUUAAAUUGAUUUUUAAAUUAAAAUAUGUCUUCUUUCAUCAAAAUAUCCAAUCUACGAUAUAGGUACUUUCCCUUGAUGUCCCAUAGUCUUGGGACGCCCUGUAUAAAGCCUCCAUUUUGGAAAAGGUCCGCCAUCUUGAAUUCUCGUGAAUGAAAUUAGUGUUUCCUCGGAUGAAAUCAUUCGGAGUGGUCCUGGUAGUAUCACUGGUCAAAGCGGAUGCUUUCUCCAUAAAAUCCAGCUUUCGAUGCAAAUAUCGCCGUAAGCCCUUAAGGCCCCUAUACAUAUUGGGCCAGCGUGGGCCAAUGGGGGGGGGGGGGGACGCAUUUGUGCGUUAGAGGGAGCAAGUGAUAUUGCUAUCUCAUUCUACCGCAUGGCUGCGUCCCGUGGACUGGCCUACAGGGGCCUUUAGACUUUUAUUUCAGUGAAGUGUUGGUAAAGACUCGAUUCUACUUCUCGUUUCAACUCGAUUCCCAAGAGUUCGCUACUCAUAUCAACUCGAUUCCCAAGAGUUCGCUACUCAUAUCAACUCGAUUCUUAAUGUAGUAAAUGCAGGUAAUAAAUUUUAAGCACUUUGGAAAUUGAAAAUGUUGAUCCCCUUACAAACUUAUGACAAGAUUCCGAAAUUUCAAUGAGCAAAUUUCGCAUUUCUGUAAACUUUCCGACGGCAGCAGUACUCGAAAGUGGAAUAAUUUAGACCCGAGUCUUACCAACACUAUUUCGGUGUAAUUUUCGUCAGGCAACGUUUUAGAUAUUGUAAGUUUUACACGUAGACUUAUAAGUAGUAGGUGUUUUUGUAAUUAGUCAAAUAUAUAACGUGGUUUUACUGGUUUUGUAUCUAAUGCCAAUAUUGAAGUUUCCACUAUUAAAGAUUAUUGCAAGAGU